UGCAUACUCCCUCUGUCCCGAAUUACUUGUCUUAGAUUUCUCUACAUAUGGAUGUAUCUAGGCACAUUUAGUGUUAGAUACAUCCGUAUCUAAACAAAUGUGAGACAAGUAAUUUAGGACGGAGGUAAUAGAAA
rfam:Triticum aestivum genome assembly, contig: Triticum_aestivum_CS42_TGACv1_scaffold_095614_2AL